AUUGGCUACCGGGAUAUGACACCGAAAACUUUCCCAGGGAUGUUUGUCGGAGGGCUGUGCGCGAUUGCUAGCGUUUUAGCCAUUGCCCUUCCUGUUCCUGUUAUUGUCAGCAAC
rfam:Dufourea novaeangliae contig2449, whole genome shotgun sequence.